rnacentral:rRNA from 1 species
CGACCGGCGCACGGGUGAGUAACACGUAUCCAACCUGCCGAUGACUCGGGGGAUAGCCUUUCGAAAGAAAGAUUAAUACAAGAUGGCAUCAUGAGUCCGCAUGUUCACAUGAUUAAAGGUAUUCCGGUAGACGAUGGGGAUGCGUUCCAUUAGAUAGUAGGCGGGGUAACGGCCCACCUAGUCUUCGAUGGAUAGGGGUUCUGAGAGGAAGGUCCCCCACAUUGGAACUGAGACACGGUCCAAACUCCUACGGGAGGCAGCAUG